rnacentral:rRNA from 1 species
AUUGAACGCUGGCGGCAGGCCUAACACAUGCAAGUCGAGCGAGCGGCGGACGGGUGAGUAAUGUCUGGGGAACUGCCCGAUGGAGGGGGAUAACUACUGGAAACGGUAGCUAAUACCGCAUACUAUCGGAUGUACCCAGAUGGGAUUAGCUAGUAGGUGGGGUAAAGGCUCACCUAGGCGACGAUCUCUAGCUGGUCUGAGAGGAUGACCAGCCACACUGGGACUGAGACACGGCCCAGACUCCUACGGGAGGCAGCAGUGGGGAAUAUUGCACAAUGGGCGCAAGCCUGAUGCAGCCAUGCCGCGUGUAUGAAGAAGGCCUUCGGGUUGUAAAGUACUUUCGGUGGGGAGGCGUUACCUGCAGAAGAAGCACCGGCUAACUCCGUGCCAGCAGCCGCGGUAAUAC